CAAUCGAACCCGGAGAUAGCUGGUUCUCCUCGAAAUAGCUUUAGGGCUAGCCUCGCAUUAGUUUACCGGAGGUAGAGCACUGAAUGGUCUAGGGGGCCUCACCGCCUACCGAAACCUAUCAAACUGCGAAUGCCGGAUAAAUGAUGUGCGGGAGUCAGGCCGCGAGAGAUAAGUUCCGCGGUCAAAAGGGGAACACCCCAGAUCGUCUGCUAAGGUCCCCAAGUACGCGUUAAGUGGGAAAGGAUGUUGGAUUGCACAGACAACCAGGAUGUUGGCUUAGAAGCAGCCACACAUUCAAAGAGUGCGUAAUAGCUCACUGGUCGAGUGAUCCAGCGCCGAAAAUGUAACGGGGCUAAAACGCGACACCGAAGCAGCGGGAUGCGUAAGCAUCGGUAGAGGAGCAUUGUGUGAGGGUUGAAGCCAGAGCGGGAGCACUGGUGGACUUCACAGAAGAGAGAAUGCCGGUAUGAGUAGCGAGACCCAUGCGAGAAACAUGGGCGUCGAAGGCCCAAGGUUUCCUGGGGAAGGUUCAUCCACCCAGGGUAAGUCGGGACCUAAGCCGAGGACUGAGGUCGUAGGCGAUGGACAGCAGGUAGAGAUUCCUGCACCACUUAUACUUGUUUGACGAAGCAGUGACACAGAAGGAUAGGACGGGCGCGGUGAUGGUCAACCGCGUAGGCGGCACGAGGCCGGGAAGCAGUGAAGUACACUUCCCGCAAAGGCUGAGUGUUGACAGGACCGAAAAGAAGUAGGGAAGCGUCCGAGUUCACGCUGGCGAGAAAAGCUGCUAAGGAGAGUGUGAGUGCCCGUACCGGAAACCGACGCAGGUGGGCGAGGAGAGAAUCCUGAGACGGACGGGAGAACUCUUGUUAAGGAACUCGGCAAAAUGACCCCGUAACUUCGGGAGAAGGGGUGCCUCGAAAGAGGCCGCAGAGAAUAGUCACAAGCGACUGUUUAGCAAAAACACAGGUAUCUGCGAAAGCGAGAGCUGACGUAUAGGUGCUGACACCUGCCCGGUGCUGGAAGGUUAAGGGAACAUGUUAGAGCAAUCGAAGCAUCGAACCGAAGCCCCAGUAAACGGCGGCCGUAACUAUAACGGUCCUAAGGUAGCGAAAUUCCUUGUCGGGUAAGUUCCGACCCGCACGAAUGGCGUAACGACUUGGGUACUGUCUCAACAAGAGGCUCGGUGAAAUUGAAGUAUGUGUGAAGAUGCACAUUACCCGCGACUGGACGGAAAGACCCCGUAGAGCUUUACUGUAGCUUAGCAUUGGAUUUCGAUAAUGGAUGUACAGGAUAGGUGGGAGACUGGGAGACUGUGGCGUCAGCUGCACUGUUCUACCAGCCAGACGUAACGUUAGGAUUAGGCACCACAGGUGAGGGUUCAGGUAGAGGCGCGGGUUCAGAUGUGGCUGUGGUCGUAGGUGUAGUUGUGGGUGUAGAAACUGCCGGCCACACUAUCGGGUUGGGGUUUUCGACUAUGCGCACUUGCGCUGUGGCGCGAAGCCCGCCCUCGGCGUACACGGUUAUCUGCCACGUAUCCAGCCGCGCGGACAUGCCCGCCAGCGCCAUCAGGCGCGGCUUGCCGUUUACGCGGUAUAUCGAAAAUAGCGUGUCGUAUUUGCUGAACGUCCGGUUUUCGGGGAGCGUGGAAUGCGCCUCGCCGCCCGAAAGUUCGACCGAGUAUUCCAGCUUGACUCCGCUAAGGUCGAACGGAUCGCCGUACUGGUCGAACCCGUAUAUCCUGAUUGCGGUGCUGUCGCGCGUCAUUACUUCGGCGUGA
rnacentral:rRNA from 1 species